rnacentral:rRNA from 1 species
AGGAGAGUUUGAUCCUGGCUCAGGAUGAACGCUAGCGGCAGGCCUAAUACAUGCAAGUCGGACGGUAAAACCCCCUUCGGGGGGUUGAGAGUGGCGCACGGGUGCGUAACGCGUAUGCAACCAGCCCCGUCCAGGCGGAUAGCCGGUGGAAACGCCGGAUAAUACGCCACGGUCCCGGGGGGGGCAUCCCUUUCCGGGUGAAGCGGAGACGCGGGACGGGACGGGCAUGCGUGCCAUUAGCUGGUUGGCGGGGCGACGGCCCACCAAGGCUACGAUGGCUAGGGGAUCUGAGAGGACGGUCCCCCACACUGGUACUGAGACACGGACCAGACUCCUGCGGGAGGCAGCAGUAAGGGAUAUUGGUCAAUGGGGGGAACCCUGAACCAGCCAUGCCGCGUGAGGGAAUGAGGCCCUACGGGUCGUGAACCUCUUUUAUUCGGGGACAACGGCGGCGUCGCGAACGCCGCGUGAGGGUACCGAAGGAAUAAGCGUCGGCUAACUCCGUGCCAGCAGCCGCGGUAAUACGGAGGACGCGUGCGUUAUCCGGAUUCAUUGGGUUUAAAGGGUGCGCAGGCGGCCGUGCAAGUCAGCGGUGAAAGCCCGGGGCUCAACCCCGGAAGUGCCGUUGAUACUGCAUGGCUGGAAUGCGGUCGAGGCGGGCGGAACGUGGCGUGUAGCGGUGAAACCCCUAGAGAUGCCACAGAACGCCGAUAGCGGUGGCAGCUCGCCAGGCCUGCCUUGACGCUCGCGCAAGGGGGCGUGGGGAUCGAACAGGAUUAGAUACCCUGGUAGUCCCCU